AAAAAGGCUUUGAUGGGGUAAAACACUUUAACUUCCCGCUCAGAGAGGGGCUUCGCCGGCUGCAAGAGCCCCCGGUCCGUUAAAGGAAUAAGCCGCCCCGGAGCUGCUGUGCUGAAAGUUUUCCUAACCUUUAAGUGCAGCCGGUUGCAAAACCGUUACUGCGUUGAGAGGCUCCGAAAAGGGCAAAAAGAGUGGUACCGCGGGAAUAAACCCGUCUCUUCC
rnacentral:ncRNA from 1 species